rnacentral:rRNA from 1 species
UACAGAGGGGGCAAGCGUUGUUCGGAAUUACUGGGCGUAAAGGGCGCGUAGGUGGCCUUCUAAGUUGAACGUGAAAUCCCUGGGCUCAACCCAGGAACUGCGUCCAAGACUGGGAGGCUUGAAUCUGGGAGAGGGAUGCGGAAUUCCAGGUGUAGCGGUGAAAUGCGUAGAUAUCUGGAGGAACACCGGUGGCGAAGGCGGCAUCCUGGACCGGGAUUGACACUGAGGCGCGAAAGCCAGGGGAGCAAACGGG